rnacentral:rRNA from 1 species
UACGUAGGGGGCGAGCGUUGUCCGGAAUUAUUGGGCGUAAAGGGCUCGUAGGCGGCCAACUAAGUCAGACGUGAAAUCCCUCAGCUUAACUGGGGAACUGCGUCUGAUACUGGAUGGCUUGGAUCCGGGAGAGGGAUGCGGAAUUCCAGGUGUAGCGGUGAAAUGCGUAGAUAUCUGGAGGAACACCGGUGGCGAAGGCGGCAUCCUGGACCGGUAUUGACGCUGAGGAGCGAAAGCCAGGGGAGCAAACGGG